GGCCUCGUUGCUCAACUGGUAGAGUGUGCGCUGUAAAAAAAGCGUAGGCGGCGUCCACGCGUGGGUUCGAAUCCCACCGAGGCUA
rnacentral:tRNA from 1 species